rnacentral:rRNA from 1 species
CCUACGGGUGGCAGCAGUCGAGAAUCAUUCACAAUGGGGGAAACCCUGAUGGUGCGACGCCGCGUGGGGGAAUGAAGGUCUUCGGAUUGUAAACCCCUGUCAUGUGGGAGCAAAUUAAAAAGAUAGUACCACAAGAGGAAGAGACGGCUAACUCUGUGCCAGCAGCCGCGGUAAUACAGAGGUCUCAAGCGUUGUUCGGAAUCACUGGGCGUAAAGCGUGCGUAGGCUGUUUCGUAAGUCGUGUGUGAAAGGCGCGGGCUCAACCCGCGGACGGCACAUGAUACUGCGGGACUAGAGUAGUGGAGGGGGAACCGGAAUUCUCGGUGUAGCAGUGAAAUGCGUAGAUAUCGAGAGGAACACUCGUGGCGAAGGCGGGUUCCUGGACAUUAACUGACGCUGAGGCACGAAGGCCAGGGGAGCGAAAGGGAUUAGAUACCCGAGUAGUC